CCUACGGGAGGCAGCAGUGAGGAAUAUUGGUCAAUGGCCGGAAGGCUGAACCAGCCAUGCCGCGUGAAGGUCAGUGCCCUAUGGGCGUUAAACUUCUUUUGUGCGGGAGCAAUAAUGGUCACGUGUGGCCAGACGAGAGUACCGUACGAAUAAGCAUCGGCUAACUCCGUGCCAGCAGCCGCGGUAAUACGGGGGAUGCAGGCGUUAUCCGGAUUUAUUGGGUUUAAAGGGUGCGUAGGCGGUUUGAUAAGGUAGAGGUGAAAUACCGGUGCUCAACACCGGAACUGCCUCUAAUACUGUUGAACUAGAGAGUAGUUGCGGUAGGCGGAAUGUAUGGUGUAGCGGUGAAAUGCUUAGAGAUCAUACAGAACACCGAUUGCGAAGGCAGCUUACUAAACUGCCACUGACAUUGAUGCUCGAAAGUGUGGGUAUCAAACAGGAUUAGAUACCCCAGUAGUC
rnacentral:rRNA from 1 species